UUGUUUGUUGGUAAAUCGUAGGUGUACCCUAGCUUUCGACCUUGCUUAUUCGUGAAUCUCAGUUACUCUGCCCUAGUGUAUAACACAGGUCUACCUCCCUCUCUUCAUCUUUCAAAAUCAGUAUUUUGUCAAAGUAAAGAUUGAAAAUUUUUUUGUUGGUGAAGCAGUUGCACCCUAGCUUUCAACCUUGCUCAUUCGUGAAUCCCAAGUACUCUGCACUAGUAAAAAUACAGUAUUGCCUCCCACUCUUCAUCUCUCAAAAUCAGCAUUUUGAUAAAGCGAAAUUGCAAAUUUGUUUGUUCGUAAAUCGCAGGUGUACCUUAGCUUUUGACCUUUCUUAUUCGUGAAUCUUAGGUACUCUUCCCUAGUGAAAAAUGCAGGUCUACCUCCCUCUCUUCAUCUCUCAAAAUCAGUAUUUUGACAAAGCAAAAAUUGUAAAUUUGUUUUUUGGUGAAGCACGUGCACCCUAACUUUCGACCUUGCUCAUUCGUGAAUCCCAAG
rnacentral:lncRNA from 1 species